AACUGAUCACAAAACAUCAGAUGCUGAUAUAUUUCCGUGGUUUUAACGUCAUGAUGACUGUAUUUAUAUCUGACACUGACUGACAUGCCAGAUCACAUCAUUUAGUUUAAACAAACAUAUGUAAAAGGGUAAGGGGUGUAAAGAUGAAGGCACAUACACACUCCCAUUCCCACAUACACACCAUCCAGAACAAUGUCUCAUUCUAGCAUCAACAAUCCAAUAAAAUAAAUAAACUUGGGUGGGGAAAAAAACUAAAAGGAAAAUA